UACAGAGGAUGCAAGCGUUAUCCGGAAUGAUUGGGCGUAAAGCGUCUGUAGGUGGCUUUUUAAGUCCGCCGUCAAAUCCCAGGGCUCAACCCUGGACAGGCGGUGGAAACUACCAAGCUGGAGUACGGUAGGGGCGGAGGGAAUUUCCGGUGGAGCGGUGAAAUGCGUAGAGAUCGGAAAGAACACCAACGGCGAAAGCACUCUGCUGGGCCGACACUGACACUGAGGUGCGAAAGCGUGGGGAGCAAACAGG
rnacentral:rRNA from 1 species